rnacentral:snoRNA from 1 species
ACGACCUUACUUGAAAGGAUCUGUUCUAUAGGCUCAGACCCUAAAUCCUGGUGGAUGAUGAUUCAUGUCCCUGCGAUUAGAGAGUGGUUAACGGCCACGAUCAUUUCUAGAUGUGUCUGGUUCUGUAGAGGAUCGUUACUCGGCUCAGUUCUAUCCUUGCCGGGGUGGUCGCACAGCGGCCUGAUAGAUU